GGCUUUAUAGUUUAAUUAAAAUAUAAGAUUGCAAGUCUUGGGAUACAUGUUGUUAAAGCUU
rnacentral:tRNA from 2 species